AGAACAUGAGCAGCCCAUCAAAAUUGUGCUGUCAUCAGUAGAACCAUGGUAGUUUAGCUCAAGAAAGGACCUCAAUGGCUUGUCAGAUGAUCUUCAGAACUUUGAUACCAUAAUUUAUAUGGAAGUGAUUCAGUUCUCUGACAUCAUGAUGUUAUAUUGUCCAGGUAUCACAGGCAAAUAGCAAAGGGGUCACUACAGUAGAUCUUCAUUUUGGUUGGCAGCCUGAUAAUACUUCUUUCCCACACUUUCCUUCAGAGCCUCCCAUAAAUUGAGCUAGCUUGGGCAAUGUGUGUGUCAACCUUAACACCCAUGUGGACAUUCCUGGAAGGUAUACUGUCAAGAUCAUGCUAGCUUCUGCUUGUGGACAGAUACUGGUUUUGUAUUUUUGUGUUCUCAACAUUUAGUACAGUGCCUAGAAAAGACUAAGGACUUAAUAAAUACUCAUG
rnacentral:lncRNA from 1 species